CGUAUGGUUUCUCGUGUCCAACUUUAAUUGUUCGUCUUAUAUAAAAUAAAAUUCGUAUUUUUAUUGUUGUUAGAUGAUAAAACAUGAUUAAUAUUUUAUGCGUGACUUGUCUUUUUAAUUUUUUUCAUAAUUUUUUUAAAUAAGACGGACGGUUAAACGUUGGGCACGGAAACUAGGGUUUGUCUUUUU
rfam:Oryza nivara chromosome 8, whole genome shotgun sequence.